ACUUGUAUUUAAUCACUUCCUCUUCUGCUGGUGAUGCGGCCGAAUAAUUCACCGGCAGGACCAGUGCACCUCUGGGUCUGCAGUGCUGCCCUCAGCUUGGAGGAAAGCUCCCGUUGGGAUCUCCAGACCUGCACCAUGUUUUUUCUCAGUGUUUUGGCCCAGUGCGUGCCAGGAGGAUGGCUCUGAAACCCCAGAUACCUACAGACCGGCACGAAAGCGAGUGAGAAUGUGGCAGCAAAAUCUGCCUGCGGAUGAAAAACUCACUCAGCAGCCUUGAAGGCUGAACAUCAACUGGGUGUUUUAAAAGCGAGGGGGAGCAGCAAGCGCUUCGUCUCCAGACCCCUUCCCAGGAGGGGGGUUCGCAGCGUUUUUCACUGGUAUCAAAGCCACGCAGCAAAGUCCACGCGACGAGGCACAGGCAUCCACACCUCCCUCCGCUGCUGCGCUAACAAGGCUUUUUGAAGUUUGUGGCCUUCCUGUGGCAUUUCAGGCUUCACUCAUCCAAACUUCUGCCUGCGGGCAUCCCCCUCCCAAAAUUACCCCAGGAGUAUUAAAAGAAAUGGUUUACUAAGGGUCUUGCUAAUAAUGUACUCCCAGCCCCGGAGGAAGAGGUGCUGCCUCGGUAUUUGGAGCCUCGCUGACAGCCAGCCCAAGAGGAGUGAUGCUGUGUAAAACCUGUGACCUUCGAAUACUGAAUUUAGGGGAUUGCGAGCGAGUGGUUGGCGACAGGCCUGCAGCAGCCAGGAGGAGGAGGAGGAGGAGGAGGGAGAGCCAGAGCCAGAGCCAGCAGCCCCUUGCUCGCUGCUGCACCGUGCAAACCACCCUGAGAGUUUCUCUGCCCGCUAUCCCGUUACCACUUGAAUCAAGAUCUGGAUGCCGAGCCAGCUUAUUUUUAGUGCAUUUUGGACUUAAAGCGAAGCAAAUGCUGGUGAAAUGUGCAGCACUGACAGCCCUGGAAAAUCUUUAUUCCUCUGCAGCAUAGGGAAGGCUGUGAGGAAGUAAAGCAAUCCCAAACUGAGUCCCCCGGUUUCUUGGGCUCAGCCUGCCCAACGCUAUGCAGUUACCGGCGGCUGCUGGGAGAGCAUUUUUCCACGUUCUGAGCGGACCAAGCAGGGCGGGGAGGAGCACACUGUGCAUGGGAGCAGCGUGCUGCAGAUUUGGACAGCCUGUGUGCCUCCAGCUGAGCUCCCUGCAUCCCGAUCGGAGCUCAGCUGCGGCAGCUCUGGGGCCGUAAAAAUGGGAGAGACUCGGAAAAAAUGAGUAGCUGAACCUCGCUUUGCUAAUCCAGGGCCACGCUGUGUUUGCUGUGCUAAUGCACAACGCUGGAUCCAUGCAACCUGGGGGGGGUCCAAUGGCACCCACCCUGCCCUGCGCUGCCUCCAGCAGCGACUCAGACCCGCUGCUUUAGGGAAAAACCCCGAAGAGGGCACUUAUGAAGCAAACAGCCUGGUUUUUGAUCCCUUCACUUGAGACCUUGCUGAAACCCUCCAGCAUGACUUGGUGCCCGCCAGACCUGAGCUAGCCGGGUAGGUCCAUGCUGCCUGGAGCUGACUGCUUCCUGAGGAUGGGGCCGCAGAGGGGAAGCGAGAGCUUUCCUAGGAGCAAAAAUGGGUCCUUUUAGCACUCGGGGCACAGCCUGCCAGAGAGCCAGGAGGUCCCUGGACGGGUGCCUUGGACAGUAGCUGGAGUUGCUGGGAGAGGCCAAGGUGACCACAGGAGAUGUCCCCCGCAUCUCUUUGGCAGGAGGAUGCACGCACAGCGUUCACAUGCUUGUUGUCAGUAAGCUUGAAGUCCCACCACGGGCAGCUCGGGGAUUUGACAAUUGUUUGUGUUUGCCCCGAGACAAAUAUCUCAUUCCCCCGUCACAAACUCGCUCCUCUACUGCGCGUGUGUUUCCGAGUUCCCUCAUGCAAAACCUGCGUGGGUGUUUGGAUAUGUAAUGAGCGCAUAGUUCAGGAUGAAAACAAGUUGCGUGGAAGAGCCAAGUAACGCCAAAAAAAUGAAAGCAAUACAAACAACAACAUGGCACGCGGCCAUACCAGCUAGAUCGUGGGCCAGCCGGAUCUCACAUACUCCCCGGAGCUGCGGAGCCGAUCAGCUGUUGGAAAAAGAGACCUUUAAAGACAAGCGAGAGGAAAUAGCAUUGGCAGCGCAGGCCGCAGCAUGUUUCCUUCCAAAGCAGGACAGAGCCAAGGACAUUAGGCAGAGCUGUAACAUUUGGGGUCUCGUUGCUCAGCCGUGAAGUAAGGCGAAAACCUCAAGCGGGCUGCAGUUGUGUAAACUAUUGUUUUCUGAGCGGAAGCGGAGCGCUGGCCUGACGGGGUAUUGUCGUACCAGAUUUUGGCAACACUCGCUCACCUAACCGAGCUCCCUCUGCAAAGCCAGGGCUCUAUUUUAACUCAGUACGUGGUGCAGGGGGAAUAAACCCACCUGUCUGCGCUGGGCCAGGGCUGGAGAGCAUCCUCCCCAGCCAGACGUGUGCUCUGUCCCGUAGCAUCUUCCAAGAAAAUCACCUCUAGCCUGUGGGCAAGGCUGGAGCGGGACUAGAGGCAAUUCCAAAAAACUCCUCAAGCUGGCCUCACUCAUCAUCAUUUCUCAUUCUGAUGUCACGGUGGGAAUUAAAAGUGGCAAAGCUGAUUGAGAGACCUAUUUUCUGUGAGGCCUCAAUAUGUUUCCACACUGAAAAGUGGCCGCAAAGACCAGUUAUUUCAUUUUUUCCCCCAUUUGGGGAGAGGGAUCAUCUGUGCCUCCUUACAACGUGGUAAAACAAUACCUCCUUCGACGUAAUAAAACACCUCUCCUGAUCCAGGCCCUGAUCCAAGCAUCUGCUCCUAGGCCACGCGCUUAAAUACCUGCUUGAGUCCUCUUCACCACCUCUUGCAGCAUCCGUCCUUUGAUUAAAGGCUUAAAUCCGUGAAAGAGCUCACUGGCAAUCCGGAAGAUUGAAAGGGGCCUGAAAUACCAGCGCCUCCAUACACGCAUUGGCAUAAUUCUUUGCAUGAAAGCCAGCUUUAAAAGGCUUGUUCUACAAAGCACAAGCGUGCAUUUUUAUUUUUUUUUUUUUUUUUUCAAAUCAAGGUCAGUAACUCAGCUUCAUUCACCAGCCUCCAGCUGCAAAACAACAUGCCCCAGACGAUGGAGGGGAGCGUAUCUGAGUCAGAAGAUGCCUUUUAAGGGAUGCAAGUGGCUGUGAGCCACGCUGAGGAAAGCAAAUCUCCUUGGUACCCUUGCGUGCUCAGCCCCAUCUGAACUGAAACGGGGCACCCGAGGGCAGGAAAAGCUGGGGAGAUGGGACCAGCGGCACAAAUCAUACUGGCACCCUCUGUGCUUUGUGGUUAGCCAGCUGCAAACCAUCUCAGCUGCUUCUGGCAACUGCUCUUCACCCUGCACGGGCACUUCGCUCGGGAUCUCUGCAGCCAGCAGCCAGGAGAGGAGGAACAGGGAUAACCUGGAAUGGAUCCUCUCCAUCACCUGCAUUCCCCGAUCUUUGCUUAGAGGUCCGUAAGGAGGAGUGAUGCCUGACCUCUGGAAAAGGAGAGCAUCCUUUCACUUGCCAGGCCUGACGAAAUGGAAGUCCAUGGACACGCUUCCACGGCGCAUUGCCUGCCGUAAGACAGCCGCAUGCCAAACCCACCGCCCCAUCCCAGAGCUCCCAGGGGAGGGGUUGUGCCCAAUCUCUGAAGUCUCAGGAAGGCUGCUUUAUUCUAGAGAAUUGCUUCCUGUUGUGUCUAUGGUUUCGUACUAAGUAGGUGGGAAA